rnacentral:lncRNA from 1 species
GAUAAGGAAACCGCUUCUGCGGUGCAGAAAGCGUUGUUUCUUGUUGUUGAAAGAAUGUUUGAAGGGGAUUCGGAGGAGAAGGACGGAGCAGGGGAGGAUGAGGGCGAUAAAGAUACCUCUUUUGUUGUGAGGUUACUUGUUUUUUCCAGUCAGAUUGGUGGUUUGUUAGGGAAAGCUGGUAGUGUAAUUAAGCAGAUGGCUUUGGAAAGUGGAGCCCAGAUUCGGAUUCUUCCCAGAGAUAAACUGCCUCCUCCUGCAUCUCCUUCUGAUGAACUGGUUCAGGUAAUUUACAGUUGCUUUUUUAACUGCUAUCGCUUACUGCAGUCUCAACAUUAACUUGAUAUGUGGGUUUAGUUUUAGUUAUCUGAAAGUUCAUUAGAAUUGUUUAUGACUACUGCUUUCCACUUUUUCCUACCUGUUUCUGCCUUGUUUUGAGUUGUCAAAAAUAGUCAUUCAAGAGUAUUGGUUCUAGUGUUGUUGCAUGGGUGAUUGAAAAAGUGACCUUUUUCUCCCCUGUACCUUUGGUUGAAAGAAACGACAGUUCCUAGUUUCUUAUUUGGUUCCUUAGCCUAGGAUGUUGCUUGUCUUUCCUAUAAAUUUGGAAAUAGUGGGAAGCAGAAUUUUCAUUGCUUUAUAAGAUAAAUUACCUUCCAUUUAGAUUGGUUCUACCAAAGCAACAAGGGAUGCUGCAUUAAUAGACAACUGUACUACAAAGACUUUUGGUGCUGAAGGUGCUUGUUCAACCUUUUAUUUGAUGAGUUCAUUGCAGAUUUCUGGGGUGCCAGAUGCUGUUAGAAAAGCUCUUACUUCUGUUUCUCAACAACUACUUGGGAAUCCCCCUCGGGACCAACGUUCUCAAUCCUCUGGACCAUCAUCCCAUUCACUUGGCCGUCCUUACAGACAGGAACCCUUUGUACAAUCAAACCAUGCUUUCCAUGGGCAAGGGAUGCCUUAUUCUGCUGGAUAUCGUGAUGCUGAAGGCAGUUUUCCUGAUCGUAUGUAUCCUUCUCAGGACAUAUUAGCAUUCCGUUUAUGGUGUCCUCAUGACAAGAUUGGAGGUGUAAUUGGAAAGGGGGGAACUGUAGUCAGGGCAAUUCAAAAUGAGACUGGCUGUGAGAUUAAAGUUCUUGAUGCUGCAGCCGACUCGGAGGAUCGCAUAAUUGUAAUAUCUGGUCCAGCGGUAUAAUCUAGCACUCAACCUUUUCUGGAUCUGUAGAUCCACUGUUUGCUAAUAUUUUUGUUUCUUGCCUUAUGAAAUAGUUAUUAUUGGAAUUUAUUUUACCAUUUCAGCACCCAGAUGAAAGGAUAUCUGCACCUCAAGAUGCAGUGCUUCGUGUGCAGUCCAGAAUAUUUAGGUCAUCAUCUGAAAGUCAAGAAAAAAAUGUGACAGCUAAACUUCUUGUCUCCUCAAAUCAAAUCGGAUGCCUCCUUGGCAAAGGAGGAUCCAUUAUUGCUGAAAUGAGGAAGUCUACUGGAGCUUAUAUCCGUAUACUGGGGAAGGAUCAAAACCCUCAAGGUGCUUUAGAAAAUGAAGAAGUAGUUCAGGUUUGUUUUUAGUAUCUUUGAACGGUGUUUGUAAGCUUUAUUGCUUAUGUGUUUGAUGUAUCUGCCCCAGUCUUAAACUUUUUGCAGUUUUACAUUUUUUCUUUAAGGUAUUAGUCUUUCUGCUUUAGAUGUAUCUAUUACCAUUACAGGUAAAUGGAGAGCUUGAAACGGUGCACGAGGCCCUUUUGCAGAUAACUUCAAGGUUACGGGAACACUUCUUCCGAGAUGCAUUUCCUUCUAUGAACUAUCCUUCAAAUCCUGCCUUUCUUGACCAAGGACCUCCAUUUCCACCAUAUUUGGGAAGGGGAGAACAUUCACCUCCAGGGAUGUAUCCGAAUCUAGGUCCAUCGUUUCGCAAGUUUGAUUCUGUUGGUGGCCUGCCUCCUCCAGGAGGUUUUCAUCCACUUGAUGAGCGACCUCCUUUUAUGCAAAAUUUCCACAGACCAGGAUUCCCACCUCAUAUGUCUGAAAGAUUUCCACCUUCAGCAGCAUGGGGGCCUCAGGUUGUCCAUUGAUGCUUGUUACUGUUAUUGCCAAGUACUUUAUACGUCAUGUCUUGGAAAUGAUUUUAGUCAGCAUAUUUUGCAUCUACUGGUGCUUUUGUGAAGUUUUUUGCUGACUGGUCCAUUGCUUCUGUGGCUGUUAUAAUUUUGACUAUUUUAAUUGUUAAAGCUAUAGGCAAUUUUCCUACAAGAUCUAUCUUAGGUUAUGCAAGUGAAAGGUCAUUCACUUGAGGUGUUUGAUCCAAUGCAGGGGCCAAUUGAAGCCGGUGGUCCAAUGGGCUUGCCUGACUAUGCAGGACCUCCUCCUAGGAGGAUUGGUGGAUUUGGAGGGUCUGUAAAUUCUACAGUGUUUAUGCUCUUCUGUCAUGCAGUUUUGAUGCUUUUAAUAUGCGUAUUAGUUAUUCCACACAUAAAUAAACAGAACAAGCAUUAUGUCCUUCAUGAUGCAGAGGAAAUCAUGCCGCUAUUAUCACAAGCACUACCGUGGAAGUUGUGGUUCCGCGUUCUGUUGUUCCUGCAAUCUAUGGUGAGGAUGGUGGAUGUCUGAGACAGAUACGUCAGGUAUAAUCAUUAUGAUUUUCCAUUCAUCUUCAGAUUUUCCUGUUGUGGUAGAAUUUUUUUUUCUGCCUUAGUUUUAUGCUGUUCUCAUGUGAAGAAAGCUGGUUCUCUUUCCAUUUAGCUAAAGAUCUCAUCUAGCAUAAAUUCUACUGUGUAACCUUCUGUAUGCAUGGACAUAAAAUGCAUUAGAGUAUAAAUUGCUUUCUUUUGAGAUUAGUUUUCCCAUUUUUUCAUUGCUUUUGUGCAUAAUAGUUUCUUCCAGCCCCUGGUUCUUUUAAGAGAAUGUUUAUUCCUAACCACAGGAAAAGAUAAUGUCAAGAUAUGCUUUGCAGUGUCCUUAGGAUGACAAAUAAUAGUUCUUAAACUGAAGUUCUAUAUCAUCCUGUUGUUCAAGCUGUUUUUAGGUUUCAAAUUAUUGUUCUUGGAAGUUUCUGAUAGGUUAAAACUUCAAGUAGUCAACCUGCGAAAUUAUUCGUGCCUUCAAAAUUCUGUACUCAAUUUUUUGUAUAUAAACAGUAGCUAAAAGGAAACUCAAGAUGCGUGAUUUCCCCUAAUAAUCAUGAUUGCAGAUAGGCUACAUAUUGUUUGAGCGCUAUUUUUGUAAUUUUUCCCUGGUAGAUCAAGAAACUGACAUUACCCACCUGUCCAGAUUUCUGAUGCAAAAAUUACUAUUACUGAUUCUAAACCUGGGGCAACAGAAACUGUGAUCAUAAUAUCUGGAACACCAGAACAGACUAAUGCUGCACAGAGUCUUAUUCAAGCAUUUGUAAUCAGUGAGACAGAUGCCACUUGAUUUGUGAUAUUAAGGUAAUACUUCAUAGUUGCAGGAUGCAAGUUCUAGUUUCUGUCAAGGAAAUAUGGAAAAGGCUUUAGCAAGGAUCUUUUAGAUGUUCACCUCUCAUUGGUAUCUGUACUGUUUCAUCUGGUUGUUCAGGGAGAUCGAUGUACUUUCUCCUGUUUCCAUCUGUGACCCCAAGUGAAGAUUGUAUUGACAGACAGAUGAUGGCCUCUGCUGACAGCAGGAUGCACUUGAAUUUUUGCUUGAGUCAUUUUCUACCUUGCUGAUCAAUUUUUCUACCUUGCAAGAUGCACUUGACUUUUUGCUUGAGCCAUUUUUGACAGCAAGAUGCACUUGACUUUUUCACUCCUGGAAAGCGUGGUGUUCGGUAAACAUAGCAGU